rnacentral:rRNA from 1 species
ACGGUACAACGAGUCGCAAGCUCGCGAGAGUAAGCUAAUCUCUUAAAGCCGUUCUCAAUUCGGACUGUAGGCUGCAACUCGCCUACACGAAGUCGGAAUCGCUAGUAAUCGCGGAUCAGCAUGCCGCGGUGAAUACGUUCCCGGGCCUUGUACACACCGCCCGUCACACCAUGGGAGUUUGUAACGCCCAAAGUCGGUGGCCUAACCUUUAUGGAGGGAGCCGCCUAAGGCGGGACAGAUGACUGGGGUGAAGUCGUAACAAGGUACC